rnacentral:rRNA from 1 species
UACGUAGGGGGCAAGCGUUGUCCGGAUUUAUUGGGCGUAAAGAGCGUGUAGGCGGCCAUGUAGGUCCGUUGUGAAAACUCGAGGCUCAACCUCGAGACGCCGAUGGAAACCAUGUGGCUAGAGUCCGGAAGAGGAGAGUGGAAUUCCUGGUGUAGCGGUGAAAUGCGUAGAGAUCCGGAAGAAGACCGGUGGCGAAGGCGGUCUGCUGGCGAGUACCUGACACUGAUGCGCGACAGCGUGGGGAGCAAACAGG